UACGUAGGAUCCAAGCGUUGUCCGGAUUUACUGGGUGUAAAGGGUGCGCAGGCGGACUUGUUAGUCAGAGGUGAAAUCUCACUGCUCAACAGUGAAACUGCCUUUGAUACUGCAGGUCUUGAAUCCAGAAGAGAGUUGUGGAAUUCCGAGUGUAGCAGUGAAAUGUGUAGAUAUUCGGAAGAACACCAGCGGCGAAGGCAGCAACUUGGUCUGGUAUUGACGCUCAGGCACGAAAGCAUGGGGAUCAAACAGGAGUUAGAA
rnacentral:rRNA from 1 species